rnacentral:tRNA from 1 species
GCCGAGGUGGCGAAAUUGGUAGACGCGCUAGUUUCAGGUACUAGUGAGGUAAAACUCUUGGAGGUUCAAGUCCUCUCCUCGGCACCA